CGCACGAAAACUUGUGUUUUCGUCCAUAUAAAAUCUGUCAAACGAAAACACAGUUUUCGCCGAAAACUACUGGAAAACUACAUUCCACUCAUUAUAAUCGGUGCCUGCUCUAGUUUAAUCGAUGUUUUUGGAAGACAUAUUUUGCAGGCCCAAAAUUGUCACUUUACAUUCCAUAUACAAAAACAUCUGUCGCUUGAUAUUCUCAUAUUAGGGGGAUUCUCUUGCUCUUGCAAAACCUUGCACGGUGCAGAAAUUGCAGAAUUUUCCUAUUGGUGCAACGGCACAACAACAAACACACGCAGAAAAUUAUUUGCAAUGACUAUAAAUUUGUCAGACCAAACCCCACGUUUAUUUUCGUGCCGUCAUAUAUCACUAUAUUCUUCAAUGGGUGCUCUCUUGGCCUUGCAUAUUUCGGUAUAGGCUUUUUGCAUUUUGUGUCAUCGCGCAAUAUUGCAAGAGCAAUAUAAUGCCGCUAUUGAUAGUUAUCAGUGAAAACUCAACGAAAGCACACAUUGUCGGUCCGAACUUAGAUUCCACAACAUACAAAUAUGUUUUCAAAAUGUUUUCAAUGUCUGUCCGAACAUAUGUAGUAUAUGCUAUAUAUAUAUAUGCAUUAAAUAAAUAUUAUCAUAAUACCUAAAAACUGGAUUAUAGUAUUCACAGUUUUUGGGAAAUUUCAUAGGUGCCAACUUUGCCUGAUAUUUGACAUUUAAACUGUGAGCGCACAAAAAAGCAAAAUUUAUUGAACGCACUCAGCUACAAAUGUAUACAGGACAUAACCGCUAAUGAUUCUAGUAUACAGUGACGAAGAGGAUGGCGAUAUCCUAAUAAAUUUUGCCAUUGAUGCAGCGCUUAUUUUAGCUAAUCGGAGAAGUACCCAUUGGGGGAUACCAAAAUCUUGGCAAUGGGUCAAUAAUGUUCUUCCCAGAUUUGAUAGUGGCAGCAUGCGACAAAUGUUGCGCAUAGAAAUCUUUGAGUACAACUAUAUAUUAUCCUUAAUCAAGCAGGACCCUGUUUUCCAAAACAAAAAUUGUGUUCCACAUUUACCAAUCGAUCUUCAACUAAAGAUAACACUUUUUCGUCUGGGAUCAAGUGGAGAGAGUGCCUCUAUUAGAAAGAUUGCAACAUUGUUCGGAAUAGGCGUUGGCGGAACAGUUACCAAAGUGACAGAGCGGGUUAUCACCGCAUUGAUUAAUUUAAAAUCUACAUUUUUAUGUUGGCCAUCAAGAGAAGAAAAGCGAAAGAUUGUCACAAAAACAAUGGAAGAGCUUCCAGUAUGUAUUGGCUAUGUUGACGGUACUGAAAUCAGAUUAGCAGAGUCUCCUUCAAAAGAUCACAAACUAUACUUCUCUCGCAAAAAAACGGUAUGCCAUAAAAAUGCAAGUAGUAUGUGACUAUUCACAAAGAAUUAGACAAGCGACAAUAGGAAGCGUGCAUGGUGCUAAAAUUUUUGCCGAAUUUGCAAUAGGUAAAAACCCACAAAAUUAUUUUUGUCAUCGGGAAUUGAUUGCUAGCGAUUCGGCAUAUCCGCUAAGCCAACAUCUUAUUACACCUUUUCGACAAAACAGUACUGAGCAGUCAAAAGAAAUCACACAUACAUUCAAUCAAUAUUUCUCUAAAUAUAGAGUACGUAUAGAAAAUUGUUUUGGGAAAUUAAAAGAAAAAUUUUGCACUUUAAAAGAACUACGGUUCCGAUUAACGAACGAAACUAAUUAUAAAAAUUGUUGUAUAUGGAUUUUGGCAUGUUGUAUCCUUCACAGCAUAUUGCUAUAAUUUAACUUAAACGAAAAUUCUAGUUUAGAAAGUCAAGAAGAAACAGACUUCCCACAAGAAAUUUAUGAACACGACGACCUAAGAAAAGCUCUAUCACAUUUUGUAAACAAUAAAGAUAUAAUUAUUUACUUUUAUGUAGUAUA